AACCGGAUAUGCUCGUAUAGGAUAAUCAAAUAAACGUGUAUCCUUACGUACCUGUUCCGUAGGCCAAACAAACCGUACAACUUCCUUAUACAUAUAUUAUACUCUCUGUAACUAACUAGUUGUCUGUCUACCCAAUAAUACAUACAUCAACCAACAAGGUAUUGGCUUCAAACCAUGUAAAAAUGUACAAACUAACACAUCCUCUUUAAUCUGGAAGUGGCUAAGGGAAACUAUAAAUCUAAGGACAUCAGUAUCCUCUGUUCUUUCGAUAGAGACGAUGAGUCGGCUUCCACGAUCUUAAAGCCGGUUUUUUUGUAUAAUUCCUGGCCAGGUAUGUUAUCUGCAUUUACAUGAACAAAUAGUUGCUUGAAACCUUCUAAUGCGGCCAUAUCAGCAGCCAAAUGUAUUAUAUUUGAAGCAAUACCCUGACGUCGAGCAAACUUUGCAACACUAACAUUUGCAAUGUAUGCAUAUUUAUGUGAAUCAAAGGGUUCUUGAUGUGCCAAGACAACUGAUAACCUUUUGAUUUCCCCUGGGUAUCUCUCCCUUUGUACAAAUUUCCGGAUGGACAAGUCCAACGUACCCACUACACUGUUAAGUACUGUUCUUCUAACAUUCUUCUCUUCCUUUUUGACCGCAACAAAACAAAAGCACUUCAAGCAAUUUCCAUCCUGACCAGAACAUCUUCUCUUUAAAGCAUAAAACUCCUGUUCGGCAUACUUUCUUUUAUAUGCAUCAACGUGCCUCAUAUAGGAGACAGAUUCCCAAUGAGCUUCUGCUCGGAGCCAGGCUGCUGUCCAAUAUUCUUCAUCCAGCACAGCCUCACGAGCAAUGAAACGUCCAAAGUUUCGCCUUUGCAAUCCAGCGUACCCAUCAUCAGUUUGCUGAAGCCGGUUAAAAGCUAGCUCAGGUAACUCUGCAUUGUCCUGCUUUGAUAGGGGCGAGUGCCUGAUACUUUGGUCAUUAUUGCAAUGUACUUCAAUAUUUUUCCAUCUAUCAUAUGAAAUGGGAAAAGCCUCCCUGCUAAAAAUGUCGACAACAACAAGGGGUUCAUAUUUCCCUUGUUUAGAAAAUACCAAAGUGAAUUGCGGUUGUUGAAUCUUGAACUGAGGCAAGAAUACACUUCUCAGCUCCAUUUUUCCUUCUUCUCCCUUUUCUUGUUGAAUCACAUGAGAAAAAUUCAAUCUUUUUG
rnacentral:misc_RNA from 1 species